GCCAGGCAGUGGGAGUGCAUGCUUGUAAUCCCAGCUGCUGGGAAGGCUGAGGCAGGAGGAUGGCUUGAAUCCAGGAGUUUGACGUCAGCCUGGCAACAUUAGUGAGAUCUUGUCUCAA
rnacentral:sRNA from 1 species